GAAGAGUUUCCCACACAGCAUGGCCUUUGCCAAAGAAAAUGGCAUGGAUGAAAGAACGGUGGACAUUAAAGAAGAGGACUGUGAGUGGCUCACACCAGAGGAUAUGUGUGUGAAGCUGGAGGAUCACGAAGAAAGAAUUUCAGUUUUUAAAGAGGAGGAGGAGUGCAAGGAGGUGACUGCUGCCAUUAAAGCUGAGGAUUUGAAUGAUUUCUCCGUUGGUCUUGAACUUCAAAAGCAUGAAACUGAGGAUAUUUUCAAGCAAGAGGCCUGUGAAGAAUCUCCAUCCAGUUUACAGCCCUGGUCCACUAAUUCGGGACAUCUGGCUACGCAGGAGAAUUCUGUAGAGAUGAAAUCAGAGUUAUCAGCAUCUGAAGAGAAAAUCACAGAGGGAAAUGGAAGAGAAGGAGAAGAGUCACCUGGGAGUGUUGGAAUAAAUUUACAGAAGAAUGGCAGCUUCUCUCCACCUUCAUUUGGUCAGCCCUCUCUUCAAUACAAAGCGAAAGGUAUGAAGAAAUCAGCAAGAGGAUCAGAGAUCCUGACAGCAGCCUUUUUGCAGUGCAGUUCUCUCCCUGCUACUUCAGUAACACAAACAGAAGCCAUCAAAACUGAUCAACAGCAAGUGGAGAAAGAAAUCCAAAUUCAUACUGGACAAAAAUGUUUGGAAUGUGGUAAACAAUUCACACACAAAAGUGAUCUUAAUAAGCAUAUGAAGAUUCACAAUGGAGAAAAAACAUAUUGCUGUUCAGAAUGUGGUAAGUCUUUCCAAAAGAGAAGCAAUCUUCAGAACCACAGAAGAAUCCACACAGGAGAAAAACCUCAUUGUUGUCCAGAAUGUGGUAAGUCUUUCCAAAAGAGAAGCAGUCUUCACAUCCACAGAAGAAUCCACACAGGAGAAAAACCUCAUUGUUGUCUAGAAUGUGGUAAGUCCUUCUCAAGGAAAGACAGUCUUCAUUACCACAGAAUAAUCCACACAGGAGAAAAAGCUCAUUGUUGUCCAGAUUGUGGCAUGUUGUUGUCUAGGAGAAGCGAUCUUCAGAGACACCGAAGAAUACACACUGGAGAAAAACCUCAUUGCUGUCCAGAAUGUGGUAAGUUGUUCUUGCGUAUAAGCGGUCUUCAGAGACACAGAAGAAUCCACACAGGAGAAAAGCCUCACUAUGAAGUAGCGGCCCUGAAGCACCACAAGCUGGUUGAUUCUGAUAGAAAUCUGAAGCAGAAACUCUGUGAGAAACAUCAGAAAAGACUGGAAUUGUUUUGUAAGACUGAUGAGAUGUGUAUCUGCUUGAUGUGUGGAAUGACUGAACAUGAUGGUCAUGAAAAGGUUGAGCAGAAGACAGCAAGAGAAGGAAAACAGAAACAGCUGGGGGCGACACUGAGGGGAAUUAGGAAAAGACUUGAAGAGAAAGAGAAGAAACUGAGGGAGACGAGGAAGACAGCAAAGGAGAUGAAGCUUUCUGUGGAAAGAGUGAUGUGGGAACACAAGAAGAGCUUCACUGAUCUGAUUCACUGCAUUGAGGAAGCCCACAAGAAAUUGACAGAGAGGAUCACAGAACAAGAAAAGAGAGAAAUGGAGAAGGCUGAAGGAGUCAUGAAGCAACUGGAGAAGGAGAUUGAGGAGCUGAAGAGGAGAGAAGCUGAGCUGAAGGAGCUUUCAGAGACCAAGGACCAUUUCCACUUCCUACAGACUUUCUCACCUUGCUGUGCCCUUCCUGCUGAUGGAGACUCGCUCAGCUUUACUGUCACGGCUGAGUUUUCUUCUGAGGACCUGCUAAAGGAGCUGUCAGGUCUGAAAGAGAGUCUGGAAAGGAUCAUCCAGCAGGACAUCCUGACAAGGACUCCACCAGAUCCUGAAGCUCCAAUCUUCACCCUACAGCCUCCUGAACCUCAGAGCAGAGAGGAGUUUUUACAAUACUUCUGUCCCCUCACACUGGACAUCAACACGGCACACAGAGACCUCCGUCUGUCUGAAGGGAACAAGAAGGUGACAUGUGAGGGGACAAAAGCCAAAUUUCCUGAUCAUCCUGACAGAUUUGACUACUGGUGCCAAGUUCUGUGCAGAGAGGCUCUGACUGGGACUCGCUGUUACUGGGAGGUGGAGUGCAGUGGAGACUUCAAGAAGAUUGGAGUCGCAUAUAAAGGACUUAGCAGGAAAGGACUGGGCUGGGAGUGCGGCCUUGGAUACAACGACAAGUCCUGGAGUUUGUGGUGUUCUGAUUCCCGGUACUCUGUGCAUCACAAUAACAAGCAGACUGUAAUCAGCGCCCCCUACAGCCCCAGAAUAGGUGUGUAUCUGGACUGGCCUGCUGGCUCUCUGUCAUUUUAUAGCGUCUCACACACAAUGACCCUCCUCCACAGGUUCAACACCUCCUUCACUGAGCCCCUCUAUCCAGGGUUUAGUGUUGGUCUUCACUGCAGUGUAACAAUCAGCCAUCUGACAUCAUGUGACCACUGACCAGUACCCUCCACCGGUCACUUGAUGUCCCCACAAGCUCAGGUCCUCUUUGUGUUUGUAUUUGGGGUGAAAUUAAUUUUACAGGAUGGGUGGGUUGGGGGGUCAGCACCUCUGUGAUUGAAUUUGUGGAUGAGAAUGUGGGGUUGAGUGCAGCUGUCAGGGUCUGCAUUAUUAUUGGGUUUGAGUAGCCAAUCAGGUGUGUGUGUGUCAUAAUGAGGGGCGGUGACACCUCAGACCUACAAAUACCAGUCUGACCAGCAGGGGUCACUGUUGAUUCACAGCCACAUGUCCUUCAGGCUGACACC